UUCCCUCCAAAUGUCACUCAAUCACCUUCAUCGCAUCCCCCUUUUGUAAACCCUCAGUCUCACUUUUUGCUGAAAGCUCACUCAUCACCUUCAUCACCUUCAUCGCGUCCCCCUUUUGUAAACCCUCAGUCUCACUUUUUGCUGAAAGCUCACUCAUCACCUUCAUCACCUUCAUCGCGCAGUAGAAGCCCUCGCCAUCGUUGCCCUACAAGAAGAAACCAUGUAACUCUCGCCAUUGACUGUCGUCGCCUCCCACUCCCCACUCACCCCUCACUCCCCACUACUGACUGACACUCCUCGGCAUCGCUUGCACUGAUCAUCGUUGUGCCACCCUUACCAUCGUCGCUGAGCCGCUCUCACCAUCGUCGCUGCGCCGCUCUCGCCAUCGUCAUCUGCGUGCUUCUCAUCUUCGCUGUGCUCACAUCAUUGGAUAGGUUAUUAAUACCCCGAUUUCUCAUUCAGGGUCCAUUGAAUGUGUUGGCUUUUCACCAAGUGAUUCCUGGGCUACAAUUGGGGGAUUGGAUAAAAAACUUGUCAUCUGGGAUGUAGAACAUUCCUUAUCCCGUUCCACUUGUAACCAUAAGGUUUGUAUGAAUUCUGCUUUGUGCAAAUGCAAGCUCGCAUAUCUAGGAACAAACCGAGCUCUGUUUGCAGCUAUACUUUGACUGUAUGUCUUAUAAAAUAUAGUUUUGGCACCAUGUGAAAUGAGUAAUUAUAGACACACAUUACAUUACAUUAAAUCUUUAAAUGUUGUUAACUUAUUAUUGACCUUAUUGUUGUGCU